AUGUGCGUGUGGAAACACAGAACUGCAUUUGACUCGCUGAACUUGAGCUCUGCCGUUUCCACAGCGAUGACAGGAGAGACUGAAGCGAUGAACCGGAGACGCGCCGCGCGUCCAUCUACCCAAACACCUCAGGAUCGAGUUCUCGCGUUCACUGACACGCUGCUGAGAUAUAGUCGUGAAAUUUCCAUAGACUACGACCACCUUCAAAUUCAAUUACUUCUCUUUCUUUCACUCAUGACAGAGAGAAAAGAAUAAUGUGAGUCUCUCAGCAUGUCUCUUCUGUUGCUCCUGAAGAGCCGUGGACUUGAGCUUUCAGUCAGGCGAGAUACAGGACUGUCCGCGUGCCCCUUCACCCUCUGCUGAGGUCUCACGCUUUGAUGCUGCAUAAACACUGAGUCACAACGAGCAGCCAGUGGCGGAACUCAUUUCUGUCUUUUUGAAGCCUGUACAUUAGGAAGCUUUGACUUGAAUUACCUUUCAGUGGUGAAGCCUAAAUAUUUACCUCUCUUUAUGUAAAAGCAGGCAACCGUAUCCAUUAAUUUCAGAGGAGGCUCUGGCGAUUACAGAGAGAGCGCUGUGGCUCUGGAUAUUGCGUGGCCCUGCAGGGCUGUGAUAAGUACUAGGCAAAGAAGACCAAUAAUUGUGAUUUAAUCUCAGUCAGAGAGAGUGUGGGCUACAGGUUGUAAGGGGACCACCGAGCUGAAACCCAGCGGAACGACUGUUUCUGUGAUGAGUGAGACUGUCGGACCGCCCGCAGGCCGCCCUGAUUUCUUCACAAUCUGUUAAUGAAUAAUAGAGACUCCUCUGAAGUCCUCAAGGAAUUGAUCAGUCUAAAAGAAAUAUUGACUAACCCUCGUGUAUAAAACCAUAUGCUGUUUUCAAAAGUUAUAAUAAAAGGAACCAAACGAUAGCAAAAGAACUCUGUGCUAUGUUGAAUAAGUCAUAUGACUGCUUUUUGUGAGGAAUAGCCUAAAAUGUAUGUCUUUUUGUCUUGUGACUGAACAAGAACCAAUGAGGUUUGAGGUUUGCAAUGUGAUAUUUGAUGUACACUGAAAUAACUGGUGUAAGAUUUACUUUGAAACAGUUGUCAAAACUUGUUAGUUACUUUCACAAAUAAUACACUGUAUUAUACAUUCAGUUUUGAAGUAGAAAGACUUCCUACAUACUAAAUACUAAAACAUACUACAUACUACAUGGUUGCAUAAACUUCUAAAACUUUCAAAAAAAAUAAAAAAUAAAAAAUAGAAACAAAAUAAGAAUGAUAAAAUAGAUAAAAUAAUACAUAAAAUAUUUGUAAAAUUAAUGAAAAAUAGUUUUGUAGAUAAAAAUAGCAU
rnacentral:lncRNA from 1 species